GAUGAACGCUGGCGGCGUGCCUAAUACAUGCAAGUCGAGCGAACGGACGAGAAGCUUGCUUCUCUGAUGUUAGCGGCGGACGGGUGAGUAACACGUGGAUAACCUACCUAUAAGACUGGGAUAACUUCGGGAAACCGGAGCUAAUACCGGAUAAUAAUUUGAACAGCAUGGUUCAAAAGUGAAAGACGGUCUUGCUGUCACUUAUAGAUGGAUCCGCGCUGCAUUAGCUAGUUGGUAAGGUAACGGCUUACCAAGGCAACGAUGCAUAGCCGACCUGAGAGGGUGAUCGGCCACACUGGAACUGAGACACGUUCCAGACUCCUACGGGAGGCAACAGUAGGGAAUCUUCCGCAAUGGACGAAUGCCUGACGGAGCAACGCCGCGUGAGUGAUGAAGGUCUUCUGAUCGUAAAACUCUGUUAUUAGGGAAGAACAUAUGUGUAAGUAACUGUGCACAUCUUGACGGUACCUAAUCAGAAAGCCACGGCUAACUACGUG
rnacentral:rRNA from 1 species